UACAGAGGUCUCAAGCGUUGUUCGGAUUCAUUGGGCGUAAAGGGUGCGUAGGCGGCGCGGUAAGUCGGGUGUGAAAUCUCGGAGCUUAACUCCGAAAACUGCAUUCGAUACUGCCGUGCUUGAGGACUGGAGAGGAGACUGGAAUUUACGGUGUAGCGGUGAAAUGCGUAGAUAAUCGUAAGGAAGACCAGUGGCGAAGGCGGGUCUCUGGACAGUUCCUGACGCUGAGGCACGAAGGUCAGGGGAGCAAACGGGA
rnacentral:rRNA from 1 species